ACGUAGGGGGCAAGCGUUAUCCGGAUUUACUGGGUGUAAAGGGAGCGUAGACGGCAUAACAAGUCUGAUGUGAAAGGCUGGGGCUUAACCCCGGGACUGCAUUGGAAACUGUUAAGCUUGAGUGCCGGAGGGGUAAGCGGAAUUCCUAGUGUAGCGGUGAAAUGCGUAGAUAUUAGGAGGAACACCAGUGGCGAAGGCGGCUUACUGGACGGUAACUGACGUUGAGGCUCGAAAGCGUGGGGAGCAAACAG
rnacentral:rRNA from 1 species